rnacentral:rRNA from 1 species
CCGUCCUGUCUAGUAUAAGCAUUAUACCGCGAAACUGCGAAUGGCUCAUUAUAUAAGUUAUCGUUUAUUUGAUAGUACCUUACUACUUGGAUAACCGUGGUAAUUCUAGAGCUAAUACAUGCUAAAAAUCCCGACUUCGGAAGGGAUGUAUUUAUUAGAUUAAAAACCAAUGCCCUUCGGGGCUCACUGGUGAUUCAUGAUAACUCCUCGAAUCGCAUGGCCUUGUGCCGGCGAUGGUUCAUUCAAAUUUCUUCCCUAUCAACUUUCGAUGUUUGGGUAUUGGCCAAACAUGGUUGCAACGGGUAACGGAGGGUUAGGGCUCGACCCCGGAGAAGGAGCCUGAGAAACGGCUACUACAUCCAAGGAAGGCAGCAGGCGCGCAAAUUACCCAAUCCCGACACGGGGAGGUAGUGACAAUAAAUACUGAUACAGGGCUCUUUUGGGUCUUGUAAUUGGAAUGAGUACAAUUUAAAUCCCUUAACGAGGAACAAUUGGAGGGCAAGUCUGGUGCCAGCAGCCGCGGUAAUUCCAGCUCCAAUAGCGUAUAUUAAAGUUGUUGUGGUUAAAAAGCUCGUAGUUGAACCUUGGGCCUGGCUGGCCGGUCCGCCUCACCGCGUGUACUGGUCCGGCCGGGCCUUUCCCUCUGUGGAACCCCAUGCCCUUCACUGGGUGUGGCGGGGAAACAGGACUUUUACUGUGAAAAAAUUAGAGUGCUCCAGGCAGGCCUAUGCUCGAAUACAUUAGCAUGGAAUAAUAGAAUAGGACGUGUGGUUCUAUUUUGUUGGUUUCUAGGACCGCCGUAAUGAUUAAUAGGGACAGUCGGGGGCAUCAGUAUUCAAUUGUCAGAGGUGAAAUUCUUGGAUUUAUUGAAGACUAACUACUGCGAAAGCAUUUGCCAAGGAUGUUUUCAUUAAUCAGGAACGAAAGUUAGGGGAUCGAAGACGAUCAGAUACCGUCGUAGUCUUAACCAUAAACUAUGCCGACUAGGGAUCGGGACGUGUUAUUUUUUUGACCCGUUCGCACUUACGAGAAUCAAAGUGCUUGGGCUCAGGGGGAGUAUGGUCGCAGGCUGAAACUUAAAGAAAUAUGUGAACGAAAGG